GCUAMCAUGCAGUCGACGGUAGCACAGAGGAGCUUGCUCCUUGGGUGACGAGUGGCGGACGGGUGAGUAAUGUCUGGGAAACUGCCCGAUGGAGGGGGAUAACUACUGGAAACGGUAGCUAAUACCGCAUAACGUCSCAAGACCAAAGAGGGGGACCUUCGGGCCUCUUGCCAUCGGAUGUGCCCAGAUGGGAUUAGCUAGUAGGUGGGGUAACGGCUCACCUAGGCGACRAUCCCUAGCUGGUCUGAGAGGAUGACCASCCACACUGGAACUGAGACACGGUCCAGACUCCUACGGGAGGCAGCAGUGGGGAAUAUUGCACAAUGGGCGCAAGCCUGAUGCASCCAUGCCGCGUGUAUGAAGAAGGCCUUCGGGUUGUAAAGUACUUUCAGCGAGGAGGAAGGUGUUGUGGUUAAUAACCGCAGCRAUUGACGUUACUCGCAGAARAAGCACCGGCUAACUCCGUGCCAGCAGCCGCGGUAAUACGGAGGGUGCAAGCGUUAAUCGGAAUUACUGGGCGUAAAGCGCACGCAGGCGGUCUGUCAAGUCRGAUGUGAAAUCCCCGGGCUCAACCUGGGAACUGCAUCCGAAACUGGCAGGCUAGAGUCUUGUAGAGGGGGGUAGAAUUCCMGGUGUAGCGGUGAAAUGCGUAGAGAUCUGGAGGAAUACCGGUGGCGAAGGCGGCCCCCUGGACAAAGACUGACGCUCAGGUGCGAAAGCG
rnacentral:rRNA from 1 species